rnacentral:rRNA from 1 species
GACGAACGCUGGCGGCGUGCUUAACACAUGCAAGUCGAACGGAAAGGCCAUGCUUUUGUGGGGUGCUCGAGUGGCGAACGGGUGAGUAACACGUGAGUAACCUGCCCUUGUCUUUGGGAUAACUUCAGGAAACUGGGGCUAAUACCGGAUAGGAGCUCCUGCUGCAUGGUGGGGGUUGGAAAGUUUCGGCGGUUGGGGAUGGACUCGCGGCUUAUCAGCUUGUUGGUGGGGUAGUGGCUUACCAAGGCUUUGACGGGUAGCCGGCCUGAGAGGGUGACCGGCCACAUGGGGACUGAGAGACGGCCCAGACUCCUACGGGAGGCAGCAGUGGGGAAUAUUGCACAAUGGGCGGAAGCCUGAUGCAGCAACGCCGCGUGCGGAAUGACGGCCUUCGGGUUGUAAACCGCUUUCGCCUGUGACGAAGCGUGAGUGACGGUAAUGAGUAAAGAAGCACCGGCUAACUACGUG